CCUACGGGUGGCAGCAGUAGGGAAUUUUUCACAAUGGGCGAAAGCCUGAUGGAGCAACGCCGCGUGCAGGCUGAAGGCCUUCGGGUUGUAAACUGCUUUUAUAAGCGAGAAAUAUGAUGGUAACUUAUGAAUAAGGAUCGGCUAACUACGUGCCAGCAGCCGCGGUCAUACGUAGGAUCCGAGCAUUAUCCGGAGUGACUGGGUGUAAAGAGUUGCGUAGGUGGCAUAAUAAGUAGCUAGUGAAAUCUGGUGGCUCAACCAUUCAGACUAUUAGCUAAACUGUUAAGCUCGAGACCGUUAGGGGUAACUGGAAUUUCUAGUGUAGGAGUGAAAUCCGUAGAUAUUAGAAGGAACACCAAUAGCGUAGGCAGGUUGCUGGGACGGUUCUGACACUAAGGCACGAAAGCGUAGGGAGCAAACGGGAUUAGAUACCCCUGUAGUC
rnacentral:rRNA from 1 species